rnacentral:rRNA from 1 species
GACGAACGCUGGCGGCGUGCUUAACACAUGCAAGUCGAACGGUAAGGCCCCAGCUUGCUGGGGUACACGAGUGGCGAACGGGUGAGUAACACGUGGGUGACCUGCCCCGCACUUCGGGAUAAGCCUGGGAAACUGGGUCUAAUACCGGAUAGGACCGCACCGUGAGGGUGUGGUGGAAAGUUUUUCGGUGUGGGAUGGGCCCGCGGCCUAUCAGCUUGUUGGUGGGGUAAUGGCCUACCAAGGCGGCGACGGGUAGCCGGCCUGAGAGGGUGGACGGCCACAUUGGGACUGAGACACGGCCCAGACUCCUACGGGAGGCAGCAGUGGGGAAUAUUGCACAAUGGGCAGAAGCCUGAUGCAGCGACGCCGCGUGGGGGAUGACGGCCUUCGGGUUGUAAACUCCUUUCACCAUCGACGAAGGUUUUCUGACGGUAGAUGGAGAAGAAGCACCGGCUAACUACGUG